AAGAGGAAAUUGAAGAAGGUGAGUGGAAAUAGUUGAACAUAAAUUUUUUUAUUUAUUUGUAUGCUUCGUGAAAAUAUGUAAUACAAAUGGAGUUAUACUAAUUGACUAUAUCUCAUGUAUUUUAUGCUUACAAAUAGAAACUGAAGGUGAUGUUGAUGGAGGUAAGCAAAGUUUCUUUCAUAUCAGCUGAAUUGAUUUUCUGAUUAAGAUAUUUUAUGAAGUUUCUCAUUCAUAUAUUUUAUGAUUUAUUACUGAACCUUGCUGUUAAUUUAGAUGUUCACACACAUGAAGAAGAAAUUGAAGAAGAAGCUGAAGGUGAUGUUGAUGGAGAUGUUCACACACAUGAAGAAGAAGUUGAAGAAG